CUGUAGGUACUGCCAAGUACUGUAAGGUAUUGACAAGUACUAUAGGGUACUGACAAUUAGGACUUGUGCUGUGACUCAAGUCUACACAAUCAUUAUCAUAAGUCUAAGAUUGCAUCAUGGCUAGCUGUCACUUAAGUUCUUAUCUGUUACUAAUUAACCAAAUAAUUGUUUUUGAAGUGAAAUUUGUUUCAACCAGCUGGUCCUACACUGGACAAUAUUUUGUACAUAUUUUUGUUUCAUUUCUAAGUGAGAUACUGUUGUUCUUUUCAACUUGAUAGUCUAGUGCUUAUCUCAAUGAAUAAUUCACUUGGUUACACAAGCUAAGAACUAAUGAGUGGAAACUGAAACAUCAUUUUCUGAGUAGAUGAAACAGCCAAAUGAUAGAUGUCAAGAAGUUUCUGAUCUUUGGUAGCAUUCCAAAGAAAUAGUGAGAAACUAGUUAACCAAGUGUCUGAAUACUGGAUGAAAACUUUCAUUCAACAGAACCUCUACAUCUGUACAAGUGAUCCAAUGGAAAUGAUAUUUUAUUAUGACUUGACUUAAUGUGAUUCACAUAUACAACAUAAACCAUAAUAAGUAAUCAAAGAAAUUGAAUAACCAAAGAAACAUUAAGAGAAGAACAUGACAAGCAAUAGAUCCAGGAGCAUUGAAGACUUCACUGAAAAUGUGAUGUCCAUAAAAGUAGACAUACAUCUACUCCAACUUGUACAAACACAUACACAGGAAGUAGUUCAUCAUGAGGUCUAGUUUCUCCUCCAGCUAGUCCGUAAACUGAUUUCACAGCCACACAGGUGACUUAAUACAGCCAGACAGGUGACUUAAUAGCUCAGCCUAGUGAAGACAUUGAAUGAUUGAAGUUCAUACAAUCAAUUGGUCAUAGAAAAGAAUGAAAAAAAUUGUAAUUUUCAAUUUUGAAUUGUUCUUAUCAUUACUUCCAGCUAACUUCAUUGCCUUGAACAUGGGGACACGUUGAAAUCACAAGCUAAUACUCUGGUGAAUCAAUCCAAAUGAUUGUGAAGCUAAUACUCUGGUGAAUCAAUCCAAAUGAUUGUGU